GGAAGUGUGGCAGAGCCCGGUUGAUUGCACCAGUCUCGAAAACUGGAGGCCUGAAAGGGUCCGCAGGUUCAAAUCCUGCCACUUCCGCCA
rnacentral:tRNA from 1 species